UAUUGGGCAAUGGGCGCAAGCCUGACCCAGCAACGCCGCGUGAAGGAAGAAGGCUUUCGGGUUGUAAACUUCUUUUAAGAGGGACGAAANAAAUGACGGUACCUCUUGAAUAAGCUCCGGCUAACUACGUGCCAGCAGCCGCGGUAAUACGUAGGGAGCGAGCGUUAUCCGGAUUUACUGGGUGUAAAGGGCGUGUAGGCGGGAUGGCAAGUCAGGCGUGAAAACUAUGGGCUCAACCCAUAGCCUGCGUUUGAAACUGUCGUUCUUGAGUGAUGGAGAGGCAAGCGGAAUUCCGUGUGUAGCGGUGAAAUGCGUAGAUAUACGGAGGAACACCAGUGGCGAAGGCGGCUUGCUGGACAUUAACUGACGCUGAGGCGCGAAAGCGUGGGGAGCAAACAGGA
rnacentral:rRNA from 1 species